rnacentral:lncRNA from 1 species
CCUUUUCUCAGCAAACACAUACUACAGGCGUACAGCCGCACACCCUGAGAAAUAUAUGCUCCAACAAGUCCUCCUCAAUAUACAAAUGAACCUGAUGACAUUAUUUGGAGGGGAUCGAUCAGCCAAAUGGGGAAUAAUACUCUGCAAGACGUACAAAUACAACAUGCGAUUUCAAGGCACAAUCAAGUUACAACAAAUUCAAUGUUCUCUGGCAAUCUGAAGCCCAACCGAAACAUGUCAGACUCGUUGGGUGGCUCCUGACUCAUCAGGCGUACAAGGUCAAUCAAUUCCUAUGCUUGCUUCGUUUCAGAAAUUCUUGCAUCUUACAUCCCUCGGUCAUGGUCUGUGCUUAAAAUCAGACCGAUUUGCUUUUGGAGAAGGAAUGUCGGAUUUGAUCAUACUGGAAACUAGACUAAAAAUUCUGUCUCCUAACUGAAGUUUUCAUUUGGACCUGAAACCAUUUCUUGGUCAAGAAAAAAAAUUGGAACAAAGUAAAUCCACUGCAUUGGUGUGAGGAAAGAACUUCCAGUGUUUUGCAAUGUUUUAAAAGGAGUUCACUUAAAAUAAUAUACCUACUAACCUGCGUGUUGAUGGCAGAGGCAUAAAACAACCUUUUCUGUCUGAAAUAGUUGGCAGGGAUCAUUUCUCAGUCCAAACGCUCCAGCGUUGAGGUUUGACCAACAUGAGAAGAUUAUUAUUCAGAUAGCUUAUCAUACUUCUCGAGGUUUGUUUCAGGCUAAACACGAUGUCGUCAGUUGACAUGGACUUAGUGAUUGAGACAAAGUGCCCACACCACCACGUUAACUUGCCAAUCUGCGAGCUGAACUAAUCGCUGGUCUGAUUUCUAAACAACAACAGAACCGGCUUGCAGAAUCGUACUGUGUGUGAGCUAGCUUCAAUACCAUUCCUCCUUCAGUUCUCCACUUCUCCUUCCCUUGUUCAUCAUCUGCUUC